CACUGUCAACACCUGGCGAGUGUCAGGCAGCUGGCAACACUGACAGACCCAAAGCUGUCAACAACUCACCUGAACAGAACCUCCUCUAAUUAACAAACUCACCUGAACCUCCUCUAACUCAAUGGACAAUCACCUUAAUAACUGAUGCAGGAGAUGUUACAACAAAACUUUGGGUAAUUGAACUGUUCUGUCAUAGCUGAAAAUGACCAACUGGAGCAUGGAACAAAAGCUGUGGCAUCACUAUCACCACCACCACCAUGGCUCUAUCACACUGGCACCACCACCACCUAUGGCAAGAUGAGUAACGACUAAACCCUUGAGAAAUUAACAACUGGAUCAUGGAGACACUACUGUUACAGAGCAGCUGCGGCAGCAGGUAGUCCAGGGCGGCGGGGGCAGCAGGUGGUCCAGGGCGGCAGCGGCAG
rnacentral:lncRNA from 1 species